UGAGGAAUAUUGGGCAAUGCCCGCAAGGGUGGCCCAGCAACGCCGCGUGGAGGAUGAAUGUCGUAAGAUUGUAAACUCCUGUUAGAGGGGAAGAAUAGUACCGGUUGGACCGGUAUAUGACUGUACCCUCAGAGAAAGCCCCGGCUAACUACGUGCCAGCAGCCGCGGUAAUACGUAGGGGGCAAGCGUUGUCCGGAUUUACUGGGUGUAAAGGGCGCGCAGGCGGGAUAAAAAGUCAGUGGUGAAAUCCCGGGGCUCAACCUCGGAACUGCCUUUGAUACUGUUGGUCUCGAGUCCGGAAGAGGUGAGUGGAAUUCCUAGUGUAGAGGUGAAAUCCGUAGAUAUUAGGAAGAACACCGGUGGCGAAGGCGGCUCACUGGUCCGGUACUGACGCUGAGGUGCGAAAGCGUGGGGAGCAAACA
rnacentral:rRNA from 1 species